rnacentral:rRNA from 1 species
GACGAACUGUGCAAACGUUAUUCGGAAUCACUGGGCUUAAAGGGUGCGUAGGCGGUCUUUUAAGUAGGGUGUGAAAGCCUCUGGCUCAACCAGAGAACUGCGCCCUAAACUAGAAGGCUUGAGUGUGGUAGGGGUGUGUGGAACUUCCAGUGGAGCGGUGAAAUGUGUUGAUAUUGGAAGGAACGCCGGUGGCGAAAGCGACACACUGGACCUUGUCUGACGCUGAGGCACGAAAGCCAGGGGAGCAAACGGG